rnacentral:rRNA from 1 species
GACGAACGCUGGCGGCGUGCUUAACACAUGCAAGUCGAACGGAAAGGCCCUGCUUUUGUGGGGUGCUCGAGUGGCGAACGGGUGAGUAACACGUGAGUAACCUGCCCUUGACUUUGGGAUAACUUCAGGAAACUGGGGCUAAUACCGGAUAGGAGCUCCUGCUGCAUGGUGGGGGUUGGAAAGUUUCGGCGGUUGGGGAUGGACUCGCGGCUUAUCGGCUUGUUGGUGGGGUAGUGGCUUACCAAGGCUUUGACGGGUAGCCGGCCUGAGAGGGUGACCGGCCAAAUUGGGACUGAGGUACGGCCCAGACUCCUAAGGGAGGCAGCAGUGGGGAAUAUUGCACAAUGGGCGGAAGCCUGAUGCAGCAACGCCGCGUGCGGGAUGACGGCCUUCGGGUUGUAAACCGCUUUCGCCUGUGACGAAGCGUGAGUGACGGGAAUGGGUAAAGAAGCACCGGCUAACUACGUG